ensembl:lncRNA LOC120099108 uncharacterized LOC120099108
CAAGGGAAAAGUACUCGUACUGUCAAGAAGAAAGUGCUGCCACCUACAGGGAGGGGACCAAACUAAUGUCUGCAAGAAAAGAACUGCACUGUACAGAAGAUAUCCAGAAGUCAGUGAUGCACAGCACUCCUCCCGAUACUCCAGUUCUGACCAGCUUUGUGCCGCCUCCUCCACAACAUGCCCUGAGCCUUGAAGGGGAUGAUACAGUUGUUCUGAUUAUUAUAGUGGACCCUCAGUGGUCACUUCUCAACGACUUAUGAAGGAUUCCAGUGCCUCCAAAAUCUGCAGGACAACAGGCAACUGAUGAGACAAGCUUGGCAAGAGAGAAUCGCAGACCCAGAGGACCACAACAAUGCAUUAUGCUAAGAAACCUGGUCCAGAACUGGAAAAAAAAUAACCUGUUGUUGUGAGAUCGCUUGUAUAAGUCAUCAGCUAUCCCCAAUUAACAAAGCUGCGAAGACAGACUCUUGUUCAAAUGAAAAAAUAGCCAAAUAGAAUAUACUCACAGUUGGCUAUAAAAUAUUUUAUUUUAAAAUUUUUUGUUAAAUCAUCUAAUAAUCCAUUAGGUUCUAGACUGCCUUUUGUCUGAUACUUUGUUUUAGUUGUUUAGAGAUUGUGUGUGUGUGUG